CAGACCCACUUCCGGGCGCGCGUCCGGAGCCCGCGGGACCGCGCCUUUCCCCUGGUGGGCUAAAGCGGCUCGCUGGAGUUCCAGAGUGGGGGGCAUGGAGGACGAGAGGAUCUUCUCGGAUAUCUGCGGCGGCCGUCUGGCCCUGCAGCGCCGCUACUACUCGUCUUUCUGCCGGGAGUUCUGCGUCAGCUGCCCUCGGCUCUCGUUGCGCUCGCUCACCUCUGUCACCUGCACAGUGUGGCUAGUAGCCUACGGACUCUUCACUCUGUGCGAGAACAGCACGAUCCUCUCAGCAGCCAUCUUCAUCACUGUCUUAGGCCUGCUUGGUUACCUCCAUUUUGUGAAGAUUGAUCAGGAGACUCUGUUAAUCAUUGAUUCUCUUGGCAUCCAAAUGACCUCAUCCUAUGCUUCAGGCAAAGAAAACACUACCUUCAUAGAGAUGGACAAAGUCAAGGACAUUGUCAUUAACGAGGCUAUUUACAUGCAGAAGGUGAUUUACUACCUCUGUAUUUUACUGAAGGAUCCACGGGAACCACAGAAGAUAUCUCAAGUAGUACCUGUCUUCCAGAGUGCCAAGCCCCGGCUGGACUGCUUAAUUGAGGUGUACAAGAGCUGCCAGGAAGUUCUGGCGCAUCAGAAAGCCACAACAACAAGGUCAUGAGUUUCCAGCAUUCAGAAGGCCAGUAAUGUCUUCCAGGGGAGAUGGCCCCUACGCUCUAGUGGCUGACUUUUUCCUACUGCAAACCACCAGGUGGACACAGUCCUAGAACCAGAAUGGAUUCAAUGGAUCUCAGCUCACCAUUCAGCAGGAGGAAGGAGCACCAUGGAGACUGACUAGUGCUGACGGCAGCACCUGAGCACAAGAUGAGAGCACCUUAAAGAGGACCUGCCCUCCCCGGGGCCUGCAGCAGGAGAAUAAGCCAAGUGGCCACCGGCUCAGGCCUGCAUGGUACUGGGCCCCAGAGAAUUACGAGCGCGUAGUUGUGGCUGGACUGGAGUUAACUCCCUCUCAGCACUGCCUUUUCCUACCAGCUCAACAGUGACAAUGAGAUGCAUCACUCCCAGGAUCCUUUCAAAUACUGAUUACACAUAAGGCCAAAAACUACCAGGGCAGGACUACUCUAGAGUCCUGUCAUAAACUGUUUCCUCACUAGGUCCCACGCUCAUCCCCUUAUAUCACACCAGCCUAAACCACCAGUGGUCAGACUCACCUUGGGAGCAGCCAUUCUGAAGAUUAACUUGUCGAUGUGGCCUUUUCCAGAACUCUGGUCUGGAAUGGAUCUAAUCACAAGCAUGAAGUCAUCCCUGCAGCCACCAAAGGUUGUCACUGAAGAGUAGGGCAAUCCACACCAGAGUGUUCUCCUUGGGCAACAGCUUGGCAGGCUGUGGAAACAGAAGAAUCCCACCAGGUACAUCCACAGAGACUCUGCAGCACGUGUACUUGCUGAGGGUGAGGUACAUCCAGGGACUUGUUAAGCACUGACUUUCAACCCCCUCAUCUUUGAAGACACCAAAAAUGGCACUUGGGCAGAAUGAAUGGGCAAGGUUGCUGUGAUAGGAAGCAUCUGGCCUUGGAGCUCUGGUCACCUAUUGACCAUCCCAAAGGUGGAAGAGACCAUAUCCUAUUAGGUGGGAAAGGGCUACAGAAUGGAGGCCAUUCCCCAGGACUCUGCUAUCUGUGUGGGCUGUCUGCUUCUGGCUGUUACAAACAAUAGUUCACCCAGUCUUUCCUCCUAGAGGAUAUGAAAAUAAAAAGAAAAAAUGCAACCUA